UACGUAGGGUGCAAGCGUUGUCCGGAAUCAUUGGGCGUAAAGCGCGUGUAGGCGGUCCGGUAAGUCCGCUGUGAAAGUCGAGGGCUCAACCCUCGAAUGCCGGUGGAUACUGUCGGGCUUGAGUACGGGAGAGGCGAGUGGAAUUCCGCGUGUAGCAGUGAAAUGCGUAGAGAUGCGGAGGAACACCGAUGGCGAAGGCAGCCCCCUGGGCCGACAUUGACGCUCAGGCACGAAAGCGUGGGGAGCAAACAGG
rnacentral:rRNA from 1 species